rnacentral:rRNA from 1 species
AUUGAACGCUGGCGGCAUGACUUACACAUGCAAGUCGAACGGUAACGGGCCUUCGGGUGCCGACGAGUGGCGAACGGGUGAGUAAUGUAACGGAACGUCCCUGUCAGUGGGGGAGAACGUAGCGAAAGUUACGCAAAUACCGGAUAUUAUGGGAGCGGGAAAGCAGGGGAUCGCAAGACCUUGCACUGAUUGAGCGGCCGAUAGCAGAUUAGCUAGUUGGGGAGGUAAAGGCCCACCAAGGCGACGAUCUGUAGCGGGUCUGAGAGGAUGAUCCGCCACACUGGAACUGGGAAACGGUCCAGACUCCUACGGGAGGCGGCAGUGGGGAAUUUUGGACAAUGGGGGCAACCCUGAUCCAGCCAUGCCGCGUGAGUGAAGAAGGCCUUCGGGUUGUAAAGCUCUUUCGGCCGGGAAGAAAUCGUAUCAGCUAAUACCUGGUGCGGAUGACGUUACCGGCAUAAGAAGCACCGGCUAACUACGUGCCAGCCGCCGCCGUAAUAC